GACGUAGGGCGCGAGCGUUGUCCGGAUUUAUUGGGCGUAAAGAGCUCGUAGGCGGCUUGUCGCGUCGUUCGUGAAAACUCACAGCUCAACUGUGAGCUUGCGGUCGAUACGGGCAGGCUAGAGUCCGGAAGAGGAGAGUGGAAUUCCCGGUGUAGCGGUGAAAUGCGCAGAUAUCGGGAAGAACACCCGUGGCGAAGGCGGCUCUCUGGGACGGUACUGACGCUGAGACGCGAAAGCGUGGGGAGCGAACAGG
rnacentral:rRNA from 1 species